rnacentral:misc_RNA from 1 species
UUUUCGACCAAAUCCAGCAAC